AAGGUGGUAACUCUUCUCGUGGAUUGUUCGUAGCUGUUCCUAAGUGGACUCGGAAGCUUUGGAGUUCAUGGCACACAGAAACAAGUUGAAUCUACGGAAAGGCACGAAGGGAAGGCCAGAAGAGCAAGUUCGUGGUUGGUUAGGGCGGGGUGGCAUGAGGAGGUAGAUGAGAACGAGUCACGGAGGGAGAAGCCACGUACGAGGAAAAAGGAGGGAGAAUAGGUCGAUACGGUAAACUAUUGUCUGGUAGGUGAAGUGUUCACGAGAACCGGGCGGAAGAAAGCUUUGCGCCGGUUACGUGCAUUCUCUGCUUCGCACGAAACGUGAAGAUGUGACAUGCUCGUCACCGCAACGAUGUUCAACCGUGUCCAAGAAACCCCAUCUACGUCUAUAUAAUCUUUUGCGCCUGUUCUCUCGAUCGAUACCAGUGCACACGACGAAUCGCUUUAUGCAUUAUUACCGACUGAGAAAAUGCCAUCAAAGAUACGUUUUCAAGGAGGAUUUGAUAUUUACCUGAAGAGUAAGUGAGAUAUUUUUCUAUUUCAGGAUUCGUAAUUAAUUUGGACACUAUUGUAUUCAUUUCAAUUUAAUUCAUUGGUUUAAUCUAAACUAAAAUUAUUAAAAUUUUCCUUUACUUUUGUUGAACAGAUUGUUGAACAAUAUGUAUAUUAAAUUAGAAUCUACAUAUAAAUUGAUCUUAAUAAAAUUUUAAAAAGUUUCUGUAUCUGUUCCAUUGUAAAAGCGUCAUUAGAUUAGAUCUUUCUUAAUUUAUGAACACUCAAUAAGUAACAACGCCAUCUACAAUCGAAUCAUUUGGCGGGAGCAUCGAAGAAAUUGCGAUAGUCGAAAGAUGAAAUUCAUCACGAAAGUAACGAAUCGAAGUGGAAUUAGGUUAUACACAAUGCUAAAUUUUCGUGAAGCCCAAAUGCGAAUUUUCGAGAAUUUCGUCUCUGAAAUGCAGAUUUAUGCUAGUACAUUACGUACACAAAGAUAGUUUGGCAUGCGGUGGUGCACGACAAUCCUACAUCGAAGUGUAUUUGCCGAUUGUCGUCAGGGGUUGGAGAGGUAUGUUUGUAACAAGGUUGCCAGCAGCGUUACUGCGAGUUUCGAUCGUGAGACUAACCUUUAUGCCGACGUGCGAUAAUUAAUAUUCAGAUUAAAUAAGCAAAAUGAUCGAUAAAUUUAUAUUUUACGACGAAAAAGUUUCUAUUGCCGUUAUAUUUCUUUGAAAGAGAAAUACUUCGCAACAUAGCACCAUUGGAACAAGAGAAGCAUCUCGAGGCAUAUCUCAUAAAAAGAAAAAAAUUAUUCGUCGUGAGAGAGAGAGAGAGAGAGAAGAAAAAAAGAAAUAAUUCAUGCUCCUUUCUGCAUUACGAUUAUCAAUUGGAACGAUAAAAAAAAAAA